ensembl:lncRNA
UUCUUCUGGGUGAUAGGCUGCUUCCUGAGAUGGAGUGUUCUAUAGCCAGGGACCCACAUCACCAGUUGGGGAAGGAGGCAGCAGCUGCUCAUCUCAGCAUGCCCAGGGAGCCUCCAUGCUCCCAGCCCUUGUAAAGUUGUAGAAGAUCCCAAGUUGGAAGAGACCCAUAAGGAUCAUCAACUCCCACUCCUGGCUCUGCACAGCACCAUCCAAAAAUCAGACCAUGUGAUCAGAGCAUUGUCCAAACUCUCUUUGAGCUCUGGCUGUGCCACUGCCCUGGGCAGCCUGCUCUGUGCCCCCCUGACCCUCCCCUGGGAAUUGAGAUGACAGGAUUGCAAACUCCUCUUCAUGGCACAGACUGCUCCCAUAGGUGCUGCAGGGUUCCAUUUUCUGUAGCAGAGAUCCAGAGAGGACCUCCUAAUGUCUUGGAGCUCACUCACUUUGGUUGUGAGGAAAGGCAUGUUGUGCUCUCCAUAAGUAUGUUGAGAUCCCUCAUGAAAGGAGAGGAAGUUGCAGAGACGGUGGAUUCUGUUGGUGCAGUGACUGUUUAUCCAGAAAAAUAGUGGUUGUUCAGUCAACGUUGCAAGGUGAGAUGGGACUUGGAUCAUUAAUUAGGAUGCUGAUAUUCAAGUGUCUACAUGUCAGCACUUUGUGAGCACUAUGGCUGAACUCCCAUCAUAGUCAACGAAGAUUGAGCCAACAGACCCUGGAAAGCUCUUUGUUUCACACUGUGGUGGACAUCCAGGUGGGAUUCAGGACCCUACCAGAGAUGUCUAGAGGUUUUGGCAGUGCCUGGCCUCCAGAGAGCAGUGGACCUUUCAUGUAAAUCUGCACCAUUCGAAUCUCACAAAAGAUGGCACCAGGUGCUUGUCUAAAACAGCUGAAAUCCUUCUGUACAUUUGUUCAGCUGAAUAUCCCCUGAAAACCUCCCAGAUGUGAAGGUCUUUGAUUUUCACUGUGAGUGGACCGGCAGCACACUGCAUCUGGAGCAUAGCGUGAAGUUUCUGGUGGCACAUGUUGAUUUUGAUGUGCUCUGGCUGAAGCACAGGUGAGAAAGCAACAGCAGUUACUCCCCAGGUGUCCUGAAGCUUUCUGGCCUUCCACUGCAGGCAACGUUGGCAGGAGAACAAAUGGGUAUAAAAUGACCACAAAUGCAUUUAACCUGGAAAUGAAUAGGAAGUUUGUAAUUAUCAAACCGUAAUGUUCCCACAACGUUCCCGCAGGACCAGUGCCAAAUGCUUUUGAGAUAGAUUAGUUUAUUAAAGCGAUCUGAAAACAAGGUUGCUAUGAUACUGAGGUAGGAUCCUCACGGUGUGGGAAAGCUCUUUUGUGUCUCUGCAGAGUGGGAUACACAGGGUUUGUAGGGCAGUUUGAGUCGAAGUUGUAUCUUUGCCUCAUUUCAGAAGGGCAAAAACGUUCUGGCCUUCCUUGGUUUAUCUGAUGAGAUUAAUUUUGUUUGGUAAUUUCUCCUUGGAAUUUUGAAAAUUUGCCUGCUUUAUGAAUUAAAAA